rnacentral:rRNA from 1 species
UGGCGAACGGGUGAGUAAUACAUCGGAACGUGUCCGCUCGUGGGGGACAACCAGCCGAAAGGUUGGCUAAUACCGCAUGAGUUCUACGGAAGAAAGAGGGGGACCCGCAAGGGCCUCUCGCGAGCGGAGCGGCCGAUGACUGAUUAGCCGGUUGGUGAGGUAACGGCUCACCAAAGCAACGAUCAGUAGCUGGUCUGAGAGGACGGCCAGCCACACUGGGACUGAGACACGGCCCAGACUCCUACGGAAGGCAGCAG